AGAGAAAAAAACCGAAUGUCACUAAAUAAUAAGAAGAAAUAAGCAGGGUUUCCAAGCAUGAAGAUUUCUGUUCCAACCAGUUCAUUUUAAAUUGCUCUUGACAAGGUCACGAUAACCACCUGAAGCAAACAGAAGUGCCAGCUUCAACACCCUGCACCACUGCUCUGAGAAGACCAUAGAAUGGAACCAAGUGGAUAUUUUCUGGCCACCUCUAUCUUUCCAGGAAAAUGCCCUGGAGUGCACACGCUUCAUUACGGCCUUGGCAAAACACCAGCAUGCACCAGCUGCGCGUGGACUGCUCAGCCCCUGCCUGGUGGAGAGGAAUAGAAGUCAUCAGUCUUCCUCUGCAGGUUUUCAUUAACUCUCUGUUAAUCUAGAGCAUUAAUUCUUGGACUUCUGGGAAAACAGAGUUGUCUAAUCCUAAAAUCUUAAAGGCAAACAUCUUCCUUUUCAAAUCUACUUCUGGAAUUUGUGGGCUUUUGAAAGUAACAUUCACAGCAGAUUUGAAAUAUCCACUAUUUGCACAGGACAAGUCAAUAAUGGUGUGAGUUCCAUCUAUUACCUGUUAUCUGAAUGCACCAAAUUAGAAGGAAAACUAGA